rnacentral:tRNA from 1 species
ACCUGUGUAGUUCAGUUGGUAGAGCACAAGACUCUUGAUCUUGGGGUUGUGAGUUUGAGCCCCACAAUGAGUA